rnacentral:rRNA from 1 species
CCCAGACUCCUACGGGAGGCAGCAGUGGGGAAUCUUCCGCAAUGGGCGAAAGCCUGACGGAGCAACGCCGCGUGAUCGAAUGAAGGCCUUCGGGUUGUAAAGAUCUGUUGACAGGGACGAAUAAGCAAUGCGAAUAGUUUUGUGUAUGACGGUACCUGUUUAGAAAGCUCCGGCUAACUACGUGCCAGCAGCCGCGGUAAUACGUAGGGAGCAAGCGUUGUCCGGAAUUACUGGGCGUAAAGGGCGCGUAGGUGGGCGCGUAAGUCAGGGGUGAAAACGCCGGGCUCAACCUGGAGACUGCACUUGAAACUGGGUGUCUUGAGGGCAGGAGAGGAAAGUGGAAUUCCUAGUGUAGCGGUGAAAUGCGUAGAUAUUAGGAGGAACACCAGUGGCGAAGGCGGUCUGCUGGACAGCAACUGACGCUGAGGCGCGAAAGCGUGGGGAGCAAACAGGAUUAGAUACCCCCGUAUC